rfam:Oryza meridionalis cultivar OR44 (W2112) chromosome 3, whole genome shotgun sequence.
AACGAGUGCUGUUGUGGUUUUUCGUGUCCAACAUUUGAUCGCCGUCUUAUUUAAAAUUUGUCUAUGAUUAGUAUUUUUAUUAUCAUUAGAUAAUAAAAUAUAAAUACUACAUUAUGUGUGACUAUUUUUUAAAAAAAUAUAAAAUUUUUAAAUAAGACGGACGGUCAAACGUUCGGCACGAAAACUCAUAACUGCACUAAAA